rnacentral:rRNA from 1 species
AAUGGGCGCAAGCCUGAUCCAGCCAUGCCGCGUGCAGGAAGAAGGCCUUCGGGUUGUAAACUGCUUUUGUCAGGGAAGAAAUCUUUUGGGUUAAUAACCUGGGAGGAUGACGGUACCUGAAGAAUAAGCACCGGCUAACUACGUGCCAGCAGCCGCGGUAAUACGUAGGGUGCAAGCGUUAAUCGGAAUUACUGGGCGUAAAGCGUGCGCAGGCGGUUGUAUAAGACAGAUGUGAAAUCCCCGGGCUCAACCUGGGAACUGCAUUUGUGACUGUACAGCUGGAGUGCGGCAGAGGGGGAUGGAAUUCCGCGUGUAGCAGUGAAAUGCGUAGAUAUGCGGAGGAACACCGAUGGCGAAGGCAAUCCCCUGGGCCUGCACUGACGCUCAUGCACGAAAGCGUGGGGAGCAAA